rnacentral:piRNA from 1 species
UGGGAAACUGGAAGACUUGGCCUGCUGUG